rnacentral:rRNA from 1 species
CCCUUAGAGUUUGAUCCUGGCUCAGAACGAACGCUGGCGGCGUGGAUAAGACAUGCAAGUCGAACGGGGCGAAUGAGAUUACAUCAAGUUUGUUCAGUGGCGGACGGGUGCGUAACACGUGAGUAAUCUGCCGGGAGGAGGGGGAUAGCCCAUGGAAACGUGGAUUAAUACCCUGUGUGACGGAAGUUGGCAUCAACUUCCUGUCAAAGGUGCUGUAAGGCGCCGCCUCCCGAUGAACUCGCGGCCUAUCAGCUAGUUGGCGGGGUAACGGCCCACCAAGGCGAUGACGGGUAGCUGGUCUGAGAGGAUGACCAGCCACACUGGAACUGAGACACGGUCCAGACACCUACGGGUGGCAGCAGUCGAGAAUCAUUCACAAUGGGCGAAAGCCUGAUGGUGUGACGCCGCGUGGAGGAUGACGGUCUUCGGAUUGUAAACUCCUGUCAAGUGAGAGUAAGAUUGGGAUAGGAAAUGAUCGCCAAUUUGAGAGUAUCACUAGAGGAAGAGGCGGCUAACUCUGUGCCAGCAGCCGCGGUAAUACAGAGGCCUCAAGCGUUGUUCGGAUCACUG